rnacentral:rRNA from 1 species
CAAUAAGCGGAGGAAAAGAAACUAACAAGGAUUCCCCUAGUAACGGCGAGUGAAGCGGGAAGAGCUCAAAUUUGAAAUCUGGUAGCCUUCGGUUGCCCGAGUUGUAAUCUAGAGAAAUGUUUUCCGUGCCGGCCCAUGUACAAGUCCCUUGGAACAGGGCGUCAUAGAGGGUGAGAAUCCCGUCCUUGACAUGGACCCCCGGUGCUUUGUGAUACAUUUUCAACGAGUCGAGUUGUUUGGGAAUGCAGCUCAAAAUGGGUGGUGAAUUCCAUCUAAAGCUAAAUAUUGGCGAGAGACCGAUAGCGAACAAGUACCGUGAGGGAAAGAUGAAAAGCACUUUGGAAAGAGAGUUAAACAGUACGUGAAAUUGUUGAAAGGGAAACGAUUGAAGUCAGUCAUGCUCUUUGGUAUUUAUAUCAUUGAGUGGGGUCAACAUCAGUUUUGAUCGAUGGAUAAAGGCACUAGGAAGGUAGCACUCUCGGGUGAACUUAUAGCCUAGCGUCAUAUACAUUGAUUGGGACUGAGGAACGCAGCAUGCCUUUAUGGCCGGGAUUCGUCCACGUACAUGCUUAGGAUGUUGACAUAAUGGCUUUAAACGACCCGUCUUGAAACACGGACCAAGGAGUCUAACAUAUCUGCGAGUAUUUG